rnacentral:lncRNA from 1 species
AAAAAUUUUCGCCACAAAAAGAACAAAUUUCGUCACAAAAUAUUUUUUGUGGCGAAAUAUUCUGCGCCACAAGCCUGCCACAAUAAGCCCGCUAUAAAAUAUACUUGUGGGGAAAAGUAAUAUUCGCCAUAAAAAGGUAUUCUAUUUGUGGCGAAAUAUUUCGUUAUAAAAUUAGUAUAUCAAUUGUGAUGUGGAAAGUUUUUGCUGGAAAAAUAUUCACCACAAAAGAAGUCAUGCAUUUGUGGCAAACUACUUUGCCAUAGAAGACAUGUU